AUAACAAGAACAACAAAGCAUCACUCAAUAAAAAUAAUAGAGAACGGCUCUGACAGAACAAGAACAACACGGCAGAGGCGUAGCAAGCAGAUUUUUUUGGAGUCGACCCGCGUUCCUGGGGCAAGCCCCGCGAAUUGGCACAGAACAACAAAACUACCUCCAGGUAGCAGCAGCCAACUCGGAUCGUACGUGAUGAAGGUCGGUCAGCGCUCAAAAAAAUACGUUUGCUCUUGGCCCCGAAUGGGGGCCUUGCACCACCCGGGCAGGCUGACAAAAACAACAACAGGCCAGCCCUAAUAAUAAAAAGAGCAAGCAGCAACGCUUUGGGGGGAGCUUCGGCUCCCCUUAGUGCUUAUCCCUCCUCCUUCUGCUUCUCUU
rnacentral:sRNA from 1 species